rnacentral:rRNA from 1 species
UGAGGAAUAUUGGACAAUGGAGGCAACUCUGAUCCAGCCAUGCCGCGUGCAGGAAGACUGCCCUAUGGGUUGUAAACUGCUUUUAUAUAGGAAGAAACCUUGGUACGUGUACCAAGCUGACGGUACUAUAAGAAUAAGGAUCGGCUAACUCCGUGCCAGCAGCCGCGGUAAUACGGAGGAUCCAAGCGUUAUCCGGAAUCAUUGGGUUUAAAGGGUCCGUAGGUGGAUAAUUAAGUCAGAGGUGAAAUCUUGCAGCUCAACUGUAAAAUUGCCUUUGAUACUGGUUAUCUUGAGUUAUUAUGAAGUAGUUAGAAUAUGUAGUGUAGCGGUGAAAUGCAUAGAUAUUACAUAGAAUACCAAUUGCGAAGGCAGAUUACUAAUAAUCAACUGACACUGAUGGACGAAAGCGUGGGUAGCGAACAGG